rnacentral:rRNA from 1 species
CCUACGGGUGGCAGCAGUGGGGAAUUUUGGACAAUGGGCGCAAGCCUGAUCCAGCAAUGCCGCGUGCAGGAAGAAGGCCUUCGGGUUGUAAACUGCUUUUGUCAGGGAAGAAAUCUUCUGGGCUAAUAUCCCGGGAGGAUGACGGUACCUGAAGAAUAAGCACCGGCUAACUACGUGCCAGCAGCCGCGGUAAUACGUAGGGUGCGAGCGUUAAUCGGAAUUACUGGGCGUAAAGCGUCCACAGGGGGGUGAAAUCCCCGGGCUCAACCUGGGAACUGCAUUUGUGACUGCAAGGCUAGAGUACGGCAGAGGGGGAUGGAAUUCCGCGUGUAGCAGUGAAAUGCGUAGAUAUGCGGAGGAACACCAAUGGCGAAGGCAAUCCCCUGGGCCUGUACUGACGCUCAUGCACGAAAGCGUGGGGAGCAAACAGGAUUAGAUACCCUUGUAGUC